rnacentral:rRNA from 1 species
AUUGAACGCUGGCGGCAGGCUUAACACAUGCAAGUCGAGCGGAGAUGAGGUGCUUGCACCUUAUCUUAGCGGCGGACGGGUGAGUAAUGCUUAGGAAUCUGCCAUUUAGUGGGGGACAACAUUCCGAAAGGAAUGCUAAUACCGCAUACGUCCUACGGGAGAAAGCAGGGGAUCUUCGGACCUUGCGCUAAAUGAUGAGCCUAAGUCGGAUUAGCUAGUUGGUGGGGUAAAGGCCUACCAAGGCGACGAUCUGUAGCGGGUCUGAGAGGAUGAUCCGCCACACUGGGACUGAGGCACAGCCCAGACUCCUACGGGAGGCAGCAGUGGGGAAUAUUGGACAAUGGGCGGAAGCCUGAUCCAGCCAUGCCGCGUGUGUGAAGAAGGCCUUUUGGUUGUAAAGCACUUUAAGCGAGGAGGAGGCUACUAGUACUAAUACUACUGGAUAGUGGACGUUACUCGCAGAAUAAGCACCGGCUAACUCUGUGCCAGCAGCCGCCGUAACAC